rnacentral:rRNA from 1 species
GGUUAAGCGACUAAGCGUACACGGUGGAUGCCCUGGCAGUCAGAGGCGAUGAAGGACGUGCUAAUCUGCGAAAAGCGACGGCGAGGUGAUAUGAACCUUUGACCCGUCGAUGUCCGAAUGGGGAAACCCAGUGCAAUUCGUUGCACUAUCGUUAACUGAAUACAUAGGUUAACGAGGCGAACCGGGGGAACUGAAACAUCUAAGUACCCCGAGGAAAAGAAAUCAACCGAGAUUCCCCCAGUAGCGGCGAGCGAACGGGGAGCAGCCCGGAGUCUGAAUCAGCUUGUGUGUUAGUGGAACGGUCUGGAAAGUCCGACGGUACAGGGUGAUAGUCCCGUACACGAAAAUGCACAUGCUGUGAACUCGAAGAGUAGGGCGGGACACGUGGUAUCCUGUCUGAAUAUGGGGGGACCAUCCUCCAAGGCUAAAUACUCCUGACUGACCGAUAGUGAACCAGUACCGUGAGGGAAAGGCGAAAAGAACCCCGGCGAGGGGAGUGAAAAAGAACCUGAAACCGUGUACGUACAAGCAGUGGGAGCACCUUCGGGUGUGACUGCGUACCUUUUGUAUAAUGGGUCAGCGACUUAUAUUCUGUAGCAAGGUUAACCGUAUAGGGGAGCCGAAGGGAAACCGAGUCUUAACUGGGCGUUAAGUUGCAGGGUAUAGACCCGAAACCCGGUGAUCUAGCCAUGGGCAGGUUGAAGGUUGGGUAACACUAACUGGAGGACCGAACCGACUAAUGUUGAAAAAUUAGCGGAUGACCUGUGGCUGGGGGUGAAAGGCCAAUCAAACCGGGAGAUAGCUGGUUCUCCCCGAAAGCUAUUUAGGUAGCGCCUCGUGAAUUCAUCUUCGGGGGUAGAGCACUGUUUCGGCUAGGGGGCCAUCCCGGCUUACCAACCCGAUGCAAACUACGAAUACCGAAGAAUGUUAUCACGGGAGACACACGGCGGGUGCUAACGUCCGUCGUGAAGAGGGAAACAACCCAGACCGCCAGCUAAGGUCCCAAAGUCAUGGUUAAGUGGGAAACGAUGUGGGAAGGCACAGACAGCCAGGAUGUUGGCUUAGAAGCAGCCAUCAUUUAAAGAAAGCGUAAUAGCUCACUGGUCGAGUCGGCCUGCGCGGAAGAUGUAACGGGGCUAAACCAUGCACCGAAGCUGCGGCAGCGACGCUUAUGCGUUGUUGGGUAGGGGAGCGUUCUGUAAGCCGUUGAAGGUGUGCUGUGAGGCAUGCUGGAGGUAUCAGAAGUGCGAAUGCUGACAUAAGUAACGAUAAAGCGGGUGAAAAGCCCGCUCGCCGGAAGACCAAGGGUUCCUGUCCAACGUUAAUCGGGGCAGGGUGAGUCGACCCCUAAGGCGAGGCCGAAAGGCGUAGUCGAUGGGAAACAGGUUAAUAUUCCUGUACUUGGUGUUACUGCGAAGGGGGGACGGAGAAGGCUAUGUCAGCCGGGCGACGGUUGUCCCGGUUUAAGCAUGUAGGCGGAGGUUCCAGGUAAAUCCGGUACCUUAUUAACGCUGAGGUGUGAUGACGAGGCACUACGGUGCUGAAGUGAUAAAUGCCCUGCUUCCAGGAAAAGCCUCUAAGCAUCAGGUAACACGAAAUCGUACCCCAAACCGACACAGGUGGUCAGGUAGAGAAUACCAAGGCGCUUGAGAGAACUCGGGUGAAGGAACUAGGCAAAAUGGUGCCGUAACUUCGGGAGAAGGCACGCUGAUAGGUAGGUGAAGCCCCUGCGGGCGGAGCUGAAAUCAGUCGAAGAUACCAGCUGGCUGCAACUGUUUAUUAAAAACACAGCACUGUGCAAACACGAAAGUGGACGUAUACGGUGUGACGCCUGCCCGGUGCCGGAAGGUUAAUUGAUGGGGUUAGCGGCAACGCGAAGCUCUUGAUCGAAGCCCCGGUAAACGGCGGCCGUAACUAUAACGGUCCUAAGGUAGCGAAAUUCCUUGUCGGGUAAGUUCCGACCUGCACGAAUGGCGUAAUGAUGGCCAGGCUGUCUCCACCCGAGACUCAGUGAAAUUGAACUCGCUGUGAAGAUGCAGUGUACCCGCGGCAAGACGGAAAGACCCCGUGAACCUUUACUAUAGCUUGACACUGAACACUGGUCCUUGAUGUGUAGGAUAGGUGGGAGGCUUUGAAGCGUGGACGCCAGUCUGCGUGGAGCCAUCCUUGAAAUACCACCCUUUAAUGGCUGGUGUUCUAACGUAGACCCGUGAUCCGGGUUGCGGACAGUGUCUGGUGGGUAGUUUGACUGGGGCGGUCUCCUCCCAAAGAGUAACGGAGGAGCACGAAGGUUGGCUAAUCCUGGUCGGACAUCAGGAGGUUAGUGCAAUGGCAUAAGCCAGCUUGACUGCGAGCGUGACGGCGCGAGCAGGUGCGAAAGCAGGUCAUAGUGAUCCGGUGGUUCUGAAUGGAAGGGCCAUCGCUCAACGGAUAAAAGGUACUCCGGGGAUAACAGGCUGAUACCGCCCAAGAGUUCAUAUCGACGGCGGUGUUUGGCACCUCGAUGUCGGCUCAUCACAUCCUGGGGCUGAAGUAGGUCCCAAGGGUAUGGCUGUUCGCCAUUUAAAGUGGUACGCGAGCUGGGUUUAGAACGUCGUGAGACAGUUCGGUCCCUAUCUGCCGUGGGCGCUGGAGAAUUGAGGGGGGCUGCUCCUAGUACGAGAGGACCGGAGUGGACGCAUCACUGGUGUUCGGGUUGUCAUGCCAAUGGCACUGCCCGGUAGCUAAAUGCGGAAGAGAUAAGUGCUGAAAGCAUCUAAGCACGAAACUUGCCCCGAGAUGAGUUCUCCCUGAGACUUUAAGUCUCCUGAAGGAACGUUGAAGACGACGACGUUGAUAGGUCGGGUGUGUAAGCGCAGCGAUGCGUUGAGCUAACCGAUACUAAUGAACCGUGAGGCUUAACCUU